rnacentral:rRNA from 1 species
GACGAACGCUAGCGGCAGGCCUAAUACAUGCAAGUCGAACGGUAAGGCUUCUUCGGAAGUACACGAGUGGCGCACGGGUGCGUAACACGUAUGCAACCUACCUUUCAGCGGAGAAUAGUCAUUGGAAACGAUGAAUAAUACUCCAUAUGCUCACAGUAUCUCAUGAUACGGUGAGGAAAGCUCCGGCGCUGAGAGAUGGGCAUGCGUCCCAUUAGCUAGUUGGUAAAGUAACGGUUUACCAAGGCAACGAUGGGUAACUGGUCUGAGAGGAUGAUCAGUCACACGGGCACUGAGACACGGGCCCGACUCCUACGGGAGGCAGCAGUAAGGAAUAUUGGUCAAUGGGGGCAACCCUGAACCAGCCAUGCCGCGUGCAGGACGACGGCCCUCUGGGUUGUAAACUGCUUUUAUGUGGGAAUAAUUUGCUCCUAUACGGAGUCUUGUAGGUACCACAAGAAUAAGCACCGGCUAACUACG